rnacentral:rRNA from 1 species
AGAGUUUGAUCCUGGCUCAGAGUGAACGCUGGCGGCGUGCUUAACACAUGCAAGUCGAACGGUAACAGAUAAUAGCUUGCUAUUAUGCUGACGAGUGGCGAACGGGUGAGUAAUGUAUAGAUAACGUGCCUUUUAGUUUGGGAUAGCCAUUGGAAACGAUGAUUAAUACCGAAUAUUCCUUUUUAACUUAAGUUGAAUUGGGAAAGUUUUUUCGCUAAGAGAUCGGUCUAUAUUGCAUCAGUUAGUUGGUGAGGUAAUGGCUUACCAAGACAAUGACGCAUAGCGGGUUUGAGAGGAUGAUCCGCCACACUGGUACUGAGACACGGACCAGACUCCUACGGGAGGCAGCAGUGAGGAAUAUUGCACAAUGGGGGGAACCCUGAUGCAGCAACGCCGCGUGGAGGAUGACGCAUUUCGGUGUGUAAACUCCUUUUAUAGGUCAAGAAGAUGACGGUAGCCUAUGAAUAAGCUCCGGCUAACUCCGUGCCAGCAGCCGCGGUAAUACGGGGGGAGCAAGCGUUACUCGGAAUCACUGGGCGUAAAGGACGCGUAGGCGGACUAAAAAGUCAGAUGUGAAAGCCUAUAGCUUAACUAUAGAACUGCAUUUGAAACUCUUAGUCUAGAGUAUGGGAGGGGCAGAUGGAAUUAGUGGUGUAGGGGUAAAAUCCGUAGAUAUCACUAGGAAUACCGUAAGCGAAGGCGAUCUGCUGGAACAUUACUGACGCUAAGGCGUGAAAGCGUGGGGAGCAAACGGGAUUAGAUAC